UAAAAGUGACGGAGAGCCGUGGUCGCUACGUACUGACGGAUAUGUACGUCUGAGUGGAGUCUUCGGACAAAGCGAAGUGAUAAAAGUUCUUCCAAGAAAAGCGAGUAUAGCAGCCAGUACCGCAAACCGACACAGGUAGACGGGAUGAGUAUUCUAAGGCGCUCGGGUGAGCCGUGGAGAAGGAACUAGGCAAAUUGACGCUGUAACUUCGGGAUAAAGCGUACCGUCUUCGGACGGUCUCAGUAAAAUGGUUCAACCAACUGUUUAACAAAAACACAGGGCCCUGCAAAAUCGAAAGAUGACGUAUAGAGCCUGAUACCUGCCCGGUGCUGGAAGGUUAAGGAAGGGUGUUCGUCGCAAGACAAAGCUCCUGACUGAAGCCCCAGUAAACGGCGGCCGUAACUAUAACGGUCCUAAGGUAGCGAAAUUCCUUGUCGGGUAAGUUCCGACCUGCACGAAUGGUCUAAUGAGUUGAACGCUGUCUCCUCCACGAGCCCGGUGAAAUUGUAGUAUCGGUGAAGAUGCCGGUUACCCGCCACGGGACGGAAAGACCCCGUGAACCUUCACUACAACUUUGCAUUGAUUUUGAAUUACGGAUGUGUAGAAUAGUUGGGACGCUUUGAAGCAUUGCCGCCAGGUAGUGUGGAGCGGUCGUUGAAAUACCAACCUUCUUUGAUUUAGAGUCUAAUCCCUUGCGGGAAACAGUGCAUGGUGGGUAGUUUGACUGGGGUGGUCGCCUCCUAAAGAGUAACGGAGGCUUGCAAAGGUACCCUCAGUACGGUUGGUAAUCGUACGUAGAGCGCAUUAGUAUAAGGGUGCUUGACUGUGAGGCAUACAAGCCGAGCAGGGACGAAAGUCGGCUAAAGUGAUCCGGCGGUUCUGUAUGGAAGGGCCGUCGCUCAAAGGAUAAAAGGUACUCCGGGAUAACAGGCUGAUCUCCCCCAAGAGCUCAUAUCGACGGGGAGGUUUGGCACCUCGAUGUCGGUUCGUCACAUCCUGGGGCUGGAGAAGGUCCCAAGGGUUCGGCUGUUCGCCGAUUAAAGUGGCACGUGAACUGGGUUCAGAACGUCGCAAGACAGUUCGGUCCCUAUCUGUGGUGGGCGCAAGUAAAUUGAGAGAACAUGACCUUAGUACGAGAGGACCGGGUCGUACGUACCGCUGGUGUAUCAGUUGUGCCGCCAGGUGCAAUGCUGAGUAGCUAUGUACGGACAGGAUAAACGCUGAAAGCAUCUAAGCGUGAAACCUAUCUCAAGAUGAAUUUACUUUUAAGGGUCGUCAGAGACUAUGACGUUGAUAGGCUAUAGGUGUAAAACUGGUAACAGUAAAGCCAAGUAGUACUAAUUGCCCGUACGCUUUAAUGA
rnacentral:rRNA from 1 species